CCAUUUGCGUUGGGAAAAAGGAUACGCAUUUGUUAUAAGCAUAAAAGUAAAUAACACAUUAAAGGUUUGUUGGCAUCUUCUUUUGAGGUAACUUUAUUUUAUUUGCUUCAGGAAAAGCAUGCAUACGCGUUUUUUAAAGAAUGAUUACUUUCUUGGCAAUUUCUUUCGGUUCUUUUUAUUGAUUGAGUACUUGACUUCUUUUUUCACAAGAAGAAAUUCAGUUCAACACGUUUAAUGAUUGUCUUGUGGAAAAUAAGUUGUAGCUUGUGGAAAAUAAGCUCUAGGACUACUGAUUGUCUUGUGGAAAAUAAGUUGUAGCUUGUGGAAAAUAAGCUCUAGGACUACUCUUGUGGAAAAAUAUGCCCUCCACUCUGUGUGUAUCCUCUGAGUAGGAAUUGGUCUAGGGAUAGCCGAUUGAGUGUUUCUCUCCAAUGAGAUCUGAAGAUCAUAAACAAUUUUUUUUUUUUCUUUUUGCAGCAGUAUUAGCAUUAUGAAUGUUUAUACUCUCUCUCUCUCUCUCUCUCUCUCUCUCUCUCACACACACACAUUAGUAAGAAAAAAAAAGUGUAGUGUCAUGGUGGUCCAAGGUCUGCAUGCAUCCAUUCAAUUAAUACAAGAUGGAAUAAAGAGGUAUAAGAAUGUUUCCCACAGAUGAUCAGUUAGAGGCGAUACAUCUUCACCAGAUUGUGCAUGCCAUCUACUAUGGGAACAUUCAUUAUAAACAUUUUUGCAGCAGCUUAGGAAAAAAUCUUUGAAGCAUGCUAAGUUAACAGAAGACCAAGAAGUAUGAAAAAACAGAAGACCAAGCUUCGUAGUUUAUUGUUGUGUAUUGGAGUUUGAUUAAAUCAAUGUGUGUUUUGUAAUGAUCUUAGCAAAUUAGUUCAAACAAUGUAAUAUGUAGUGGAGGCCCAUUUAAUCUCAUGAAUCAUGAGGGGAAAUAAUGUAACUGAAAAGAACUUUUUGUGGGAAAUGGACGUCGUUGAUAUAUUUUGGCUUCACUCACAGUCCUAAUAUUUGUUGAAACUUGCUCUGCCUUGGACUUA